UGGUUCUCGCAUCGAUGAAGAACGCAGCGAAAUGCGAUAAGUAAUGUGAAUUGCAGAAUUCAGUGAAUCAUCGAAUCUUUGAACGCACCUUGCGCCCCUUGGUAUUCCGAGGAGCAUGCCCGUUUGAGUGUCGUGAUGACCCUCAAGGUAAAGAUGGCCCCCGCUGUCUUUCCUUGGAUUUUGGAUGUGCUGCUGGUUUGGAAACAAACUGGCUUGUCCUAAAUGCAUUGACUGCCCCCUUUCUGGUUUUCUCGCUUGGCGUGAUAAGUUCUCGCCUGCUUUGAGGGGACAACGAGGGGGGGAGGAAACACUGGCCUUUCUUUUGAAAGCGUCUGACCUCAAAUCGGGUAGGACCACCCGCUGA
rnacentral:misc_RNA from 1 species